CUCUCUGUAUAGACCCUAACAAGUGGCGUAUGCACCUAAUACACUCACUAAUCACUAUUGGUGAUGCUGGGGUGGGCAAACUUAGACUUAGAAGCAGAAGGUGACCCGGAGCAAGGGGACACUGGAGCUGGCUCAAGCUCUGCCUUGGAUAGACACUGCUGAAUCUGUAAGAGAUGCCACCACCACCGGGAAGCGACAAAAAUGAGACUAAGAAAUCUCAGUCCAACAAGAUUGUGCCCAGUGAUCAUGGCCAAUCUGAAAAGAGAGGUGAGGAUUACCAAGCAGUGAUAUCUCCAUCUUCAUCUCCGGAACUGCUCAAAAAGAGAUCAGCUUUGGACGAUCUCACCAA